rnacentral:rRNA from 1 species
CAUGCAAGUCGAACGAGAGAAGAGAAGCUUGCUUUUCUGAUCUAGUGGCGGACGGGUGAGUAACACGUGAGCAAUCUGCCUUUCAGAGGGGGAUACCGAUUGGAAACGAUCGUUAAUACCGCAUAAUAUAAUUGAACCGCAUGAUUUGAUUAUCAAAGAUUUAUCGCUGAAAGAUGAGCUCGCGUCUGAUUAGCUAGUUGGUAAGGUAACGGCUUACCAAGGCGACGAUCAGUAGCCGGACUGAGAGGUUGAUCGGCCACAUUGGGACUGAGACACGGCCCAGACUCCUACGGGAGGCAGCAGUGGGGAAUAUUGCACAAUGGAGGAAACUCUGAUGCAGCGAUGCCGCGUGAGGGAAGAAGAUUUUAGGAUUGUAAACCUCUGUCUUCAGGGACGAAAAAAGACGGUACCUGAGGAGGAAGCUCCGGCUAACUACGUGCCAGCAGCCGCGGUAAUACGUAGGGAGCGAGCGUUGUCCGGAAUUACUGGGUGUAAAGGGAGCGUAGGCGGGAUCGCAAGUCAGAUGUGAAAACUAUGGGCUUAACCCAUAAACUGCAUUUGAAACUGUGGUUCUUGAGUGAAGUAGAGGUAAGCGGAAUUCCU